rnacentral:rRNA from 1 species
ACGAACGCUGGCGGCGUGCUUAACACAUGCAAGUCGCACGGAAAGGCCCUGCUUUUGUGGGGUGCUAGAGUGGCGAACGGGUGAGUAACACGUGAGUAACCUGCCCUUGACUUUGGGAUAACUUCAGGAAACUGGGGCUAAUACCGGAUAGGAGCUCCCGCUGCAUGGUGGGGGUUGGAAAGUUUCGGCGGUUGGGGAUGGACUCGCGGCUUAUCAGCUUGUUGGUGGGGUAGUGGCUUACCAAGGCUUUGACGGGUAGCCGGCCUGAGAGGGUGACCGGCCACAUGGGGAGUGAGAAAGGCCCCAGACCCAUGGGGGGGGGAGAGGGGGGAAAUUUGGAAAAGGGGGGGGAGCCGUGAGGCAGCACCCCCGGGGGCGGAAGGAGGGCUUGGGGGUGGAAACCCGCUUUCGCCUGGGAGGAAGGGGGGGGGAGGGAAAGGGGUAAAAAAGCACCGCCAAAUUAGGGC